CCUACGGGAGGCAGCAGUGAGGAAUAUUGGUCAAUGGACGGAAGUCUGAACCAGCCAUGCAGCGUGCAGGAAGACAGCUCUAUGAGUUGUAAACUGCUUUUGUACAAGGGUAAAGCUGAAUACGUGUAUGCAGCUGAAAGUACUGUACGUAUAAGGAUCGGCUAACUCCGUGCCAGCAGCCGCGGUAAUACGGAGGAUCCAAGCGUUAUCCGGAUUUAUUGGGUUUAAAGGGUGCGUAGGCGGAAUGACAAGUCAGCGGUAAAAUCGCGGGGCUCCACCGUGCUGUGCCGUUGAAACUGGCGUUCUUGAGUGUGCGAGAAGUAUAUGGAAUGCGUGGUGUAGCGGUGAAAUGCAUAGAUAUCACGAAGAACUCCGAUCGCGAAGGCAGUGUACCGGCGCCCAACUGACGCUGAAGCUCGAAAGCGCGGGUAUCGAACAGGAUUAGAUACCCCGGUAGUC
rnacentral:rRNA from 1 species